UCCUUUUCUAUUUCUUUCUCAGCCCUUCGAACACCGCCUCUCCUCCUGCGACGAGCGUCUCCUCCUGCGAGCGUCUCCACCAUCGUCUUCUCCGGCGCCGACAGCCGCCUCUGUCUCGAGACCAUCCGGCUUCUCCACCGUCGUCCUCUCCGGCGCCGACAGCCGCUGCUCCUUCACCAGAGCGUCGCCGCCUUCGCCGGUUCUCUCGCCGCCUUCGCCAGUUCUCUCGCCGCCACCGCCGCCGUUCCGCUCUCCUGCUCGGCCAUCGAAGCAAUUCGCCGCGCUCCGCCCAUCACUCCAGGUACUAUCUCCUCGAACCGUUUGAUUCUUCAAGGGGCAAGUGCUCAACCGGUUCUAUAGCUCCGGACAUCGCUGCCCGAGUAACAUCAGAUUAGGGUUUCACACACUUCUGCGCGGAGAAAUUCAACGGUACUUUUAAGCAUGUCUGCCGCCGCGGGAGGUUCCACGGUCAUGGAGGGGGAGGACGAUUACGUCGAGUACGUCCCCGUCGCCAAGCGCAGGGCGAUGGAAGCCCAGAAGAUCCUCCAGUGCAAGGGCAACGCUUCUUCGCUCGAGGAAGACCACUAGAAGGCGAAGCUGGCUAAAGUCAAGCCUAGCCUCCUGGUGAAGGCGACGCAGCUGAAACGGGAUCAACCCGAGAUUACCCCCACCGAGCAGAUGGUGUAGCAUGAGAAGGAGAUGCUCGAGAACUUAUCCGAUCGCAAGACCUUGAUGUCGGUCCGCGAGUUGGCGAAGGGAAUCAUUUACACCGAGCUGCUGCUGACUGGGUGGAAGCCGCUGUUGCCGAUUCGCAGGAUAUCGGGGAAGCAGUGCAAUAUGAUUCGGAAGCAGUGGCAUAUUAUUGUUGAUGGAGAGGAUAUCCUGCCGCCAAUAAAGAAUUUUAAGGAUAUGAGGUUUGCAGACCCUAUUUUGAAGAAGUUGAAAGCGAAGGGGAUUGUGCAGCCGACGCCGAUUCAGGUGCAGGGUCUUCCGGUGGUCUUGGCGGGUAGAGAUAUGAUAGGGAUUGCAUUCACGGGGUCGGGGAAGACUUUGGUUUUCGUGUUGCUGAUGAUCAUGAUUGCUCUUCAGGAGGAGAUGAUGAUGCCCAUUGCUCACGGUGAAGGACCAUUCGGAUUGGUUGUCUGCCCUUCAAGAGAGCUCACGAGACAAACGUAUGAAGUUGUGGAGCAGUUUUUGGUUCCAUUGAGAGAGGCCGGAUAUCCAGAGUUGAGGGCUCUGCUAUGUAUUGGCGGAGUGGAUAUGCGGUCGCAGGUGGAGGUUGUGAGGAAGGGAGUGCACAUUGUUGUUGCUACUCCUGGUAGAUUGAAGGAUAUGCUGGCAAAGAAAAAGAUGAACCUUGCUUUCUGCAGGUUCCUUACUUUAGAUGAGGCUGACAGAUUGGUGGACUUGGGAUUUGAAGAUGAUAUAAGGGAGGUGUUCGACCACUUCAAAGCUCAACGUCAAACGCUCCUCUUUUCUGCCACUAUGCCUACUAAAAUUCAGAAUUUUGCAAGAAGUGCUCUGGUGAAGCCUGUCACGGUCAAUGUGGGAAGAGCAGGUGCUGCAAAUCUUGAUGUCAUUCAGGAGGUCGAGUAUGUCAAACAGGAGGCAAAAACUGUUUACCUUCUUGAGUGCCUUCAGAAAACUCCACCCCCUAUCCUUAUAUUCUGUGAGAACAAGGCCGAUGUGGAUGACAUUCACGAGUAUCUACUUUUGAAAGGAGUUGAAGCAGUGGCUAUUCAUGGUGGCAAAGACCAGGAAGAGAGAGAAUAUGCUAUUUCAUCGUUUAAGGCAGGCAUGAAAGAUGUCUUGGUUGCCACAGAUGUUGCUUCAAAGGGGUUGGACUUUCCUGACAUUCAACAUGUGAUCAACUAUGACAUGCCUGCAGAAAUUGAGAACUAUCUUUGCCUCUUUGUCCUGAGGUUGCAGAUGAUACAUAUGAUGCACCUGGAAUAAACAUGCUUAGGACAAGGAUUGCAAAUAAAAUGGCGAGGGAUCAUAAUAUGCCUGAGAUUUCAUGAUUUUGUGUUUCCGACUUUUGUAAUUUUGUUUUUAAGUACUCACUUAUCAAAUUCAAUGUGAUGAAGUUGAACAAUGAACUAUAUUACUUCAUUAUUGUGAUGUUAUGUAUGAAAGGGUCUAUGUAGAGAUCUAUAAGAUAUUCUUCUUUUAGCUA